GUUAACGCUGGCGGCGUGCCUAACACAUGCAAGUCGAACGGUUCUAAGCGCGAGCUUAGGAUAGUGGCGAACGGGUGAGUAAAAGGUAGGAAUCUACCCCUUGGACGGAGAUAGCUACUGGAAACGGUAGGUAAACUUCGAUAAGCCCGAGAGGGGAAAGUGGUGAGACAGCCGAGGGAUGAGCCUACUCUCCAUCAGGUAGUUGGUGAGAUAAAAGCUUACCAAGCCGAUGACGGAUAACCGGUGUGAGAGCAUGAACGGUCACAAGGGCACUGAGAGACGGGCCCUACUCCUACGGGAGGCAGCAGUGGGGAAUCUUGGACAAUGGGCGAAAGCCUGAUCCAGCGACGCCGCGUGGAGGAAGAAGUCCUUCGGGAUGUAAACUUCUGAACUAGCCGAAUAAAAGGCCUGUGGACACACAGGAGAAGAAAGUAGGCUAGGAAAAGUCCCGGCUAACUACGUG
rnacentral:rRNA from 1 species